UGAGGAAUAUUGCGCAAUGGAUGAAAGUCUGACGCAGCGACGCCGCGUGGAGGAUGAAGGCCCUUUGGGUCGUAAACUCCUGUAGAGUGGGAAGAAUAUCCCUUUUGAAGGGUUUGACGGUACCACUAAAGUAAGGAUCGGCUAACUACGUGCCAGCAGCCGCGGUAAUACGUAGGAUCCGAGCGUUGUCCGGAAUUACUGGGUGUAAAGGGAGCGCAGGCGGGUCUAUAAGUCGACGGUGAAAUCUUCCAGCUCAACUGGAAAACUGCCGCCGAUACUGUAGAUCUUGAAUAUGUCAGAGGGAAACGGAAUUCAUGGUGUAGCGGUGAAAUGCGUAGAUAUCAUGAAGAACACCAGUCGCGAAGGCGGUUUCCUGGGACAUUAUUGACGCUCAUGCUCGAAAGUGUGGGGAGCAAACAGG
rnacentral:rRNA from 1 species